AUUACUAGUCUGAUUACUUGACCACCGAGCUACGACUGCCCUGCCGCGAGUCGACUCUGGUGACUCUACCACACGCGAUGACAUCGACACGACCCACCGAACGGAGCCCGCCGGGCAGACCGACACCCCGCCGGAGUGACCGAAAUACAAACCCGAGCCGAUCCUCUCGGCUCCCGCGGCUCUCGCCGGCAGAGGUGAACGAAGGACGAUACGAGACGAGAGAUCGGACCGUUUGAAGACGAAGGAGAUCCGAUCGUCGACGAUCCUACUGGCCGACCGGACUACUUAAAUUACUCUCGAUGCUGUUCUAAGCAGAUACCCGUACCAUCGAGGCCAAGGACCGGCCCUUGGGAAUAAACGUAGCUCGCAUACCAGUAGUAACGGAAGACCAUGUAUCCAGCUCCUGCAGCAUCAAGCACUGACGAGCGAAUACCGGCACGGGUCUCUGGAGUGCGUCUUCUCGGUUCUUACUAAUUUUCUGACCGAUGAUUUGUUGUUAGCACCAUUAAAAGACUCAUUUUUA